GUUUUGUCAUCAUCAAUCUAAAAUUAUUGAAGUUCUCUUUGUCCAAAAAUUUUUGCAAGAAACUCCGGUUUAGCUGCAUGAUUGUUGGUUAUCUUGGCAGGGCCGCCAAGAUGGAGGGGCAAAUGAGGUAUACGUGCCCCGGGCGUCAAGAUAAUUUGGGCGCUAGAUCGUGAAGGACAAAUUUUCAUUUGUGUAUACAGUGUCUUUUUGUUUCUAAAUCGGAUCUAUAUUAUAAGGUAUCAUUUUUACACAAUCCUUUGAUGCUUAAUUAAAGAAGUAAAAUUAUUAGACAUUACUCAAAAUAAAAUAAACCAGAUUACAGAUUUUAAAUAUUUUCAACAAUGCUCUAGAAAAGGCAUCAGCAGCAGACAUCUUACAAUGCUUUUUCAGUUUAUUGCAGAUCAAAUAGAGCGCCCACUCUCAUAAGGCACAUAAGACGCGGGCUUAAAUUUAGGGCAAAAUCUCCACUCCUUUUUUUUUAAUAUUCUGUGUUGAUCCUAUAGAAAGUAAAGUAUGACGAAAUAGUGGGAAAAAAAUACGCUGUAUCUAUAAUUAGUAUUUUUAUAGUUGGUUAAUCUACCAAUUGAUAAUUGAUAAUUUAGCUAAUUUUUUGUAAAUAUUAAUACUUUUCUUUAUAUAUUUUGUUUUGUAUAAAUAAAUUGAUUUCCAGUUAAUUCAUGUGGCAUAUUUUGUUCCUUUAUAAUUCGAUUACUUUUUUUAGAUUAAUCAGGUUACAUGUUUGUUCAAUAUAUACAUACAAUUGAAAACUAUUAAAAAUUGUUAUGUUUUCUUAAUUUGUUAAUAAAUGUGUAAAUAAAAAUAUCCUUGAUUAUACAAAGCUAUGAGGCAUUUUUUUGAAACCACAAUCCGUCAUGAUUUGUAUUUUAUCUGUGUAAACGAGAGUCUUUGCAAAUA